CCUGCCCUGAGAGGCAUUGCAGGUGUGGCUGCUGUGUCACAUGUGCAUCAGUAGGUGGCAGAGAGGAGAGAGACCGUGUCUAUGCUCAGCGUUCUGACCUAGGAACAUCUGAGUGACUAAUAGCCUAGCAUU